rnacentral:lncRNA from 1 species
GCAGUUUAAGGAAAUAAACAGUUAAGUCAAUUAGACAUUCUUUUUCUAAGCUAACAGCAGGUUUAAAUUGCAAGUAAAAUGAAACAUGAAAAGGAACACAAUUGAAAUUACUUAAAGAAAACCGGGUUUUCAAUAAUUAGCUCAAGUACGCACUUGUCACUUCACGUACAAUGUAUUUCAAAUAUCAAAUAUACCGAAUCCUAAGGGGAAGGUCCCCCACACAAGGUUAGACAAGCCACUUACCUCGAACCGGCUCAAAAUCAACCCGAAAACAUGCUCUUGCCACGAGUACUCGACUCCAAAUGGCCCAAAUCUAUUCAAUUCAAUUGCUUAAUGAAAAUAACACUUCAAGUAACUGAUUCCACAAAGAAAUUCUUAGCUAAUACGCGAAAUUAGGUAAAAUGACCAAAACGCCCCUCGGUCCAACAACUCGAAAUUGGGUAAAAUUUACAUUUUUAGAAACCUUGUACUCUCAAGAGUCUAUACAUAACAAGAAUAUUGAAAUGGAGUUCAAUUGACCCCUCAAAUACCCAUGUUAAGGUCUCUUAAUCUCAAGCCCUAAUUACCCUUUUUCCCCAAAUAUCUCACCACCAAUUAGGUCUUUAAUCACAUAUAAACAAGUUAUGAAGUCAAAAAUAUUACCUCCAAGUGAUUCCUCUUGAAUCCCUCUUCAAUCCCCUUCAAAAAGCUUCAAAAUCGCCCAAAAAUUAUGGAAGCUAACCACAAAAUCGCAGACCAAAUGACUAUUUAAACAUUCUGUCCAAGCAUCAAAUCCUUCUUCACGAACGCAGUCAACGCCUCGCGUUCGCGAAGAACAAAUUUACUUUGACUAAAAUACCUUCAUUGCGAUCGAGACACAUAGCUCGCGAAUGCGAAGGCUUAGCUCUCAUACUCUUCGCGAACACGACAUCACCUUGCGAAUGCGAUGCACAAGACCCCAGCUUUUUCGCGAACGCGAAGACUCCUUCGCGAAUGUGAAGGCUAAAUCCUCAGCCUCACCUGCUAACCCUUCGCGAAUGCGAAGGUCAUUUUUCUGCAACACCCAACAACAGUUUUCUGCAAAUUUUUCACAACUUGAAAUGGUCCGACUGACCACCCAAAACAGACCCUAGGCCCCCGGGACCUCAACCAAACUUGCCAACCAAUCCUAAAACAUCAUUCAAACUUGUUGCAACCUUCGAAAUGCUCAAAACAAUAUCAAAACACCUAUUUUAAUCGGAUUCAAGCCUAAGAAUUCCAAAAAGUCUAAAAAUAUGUUUUCGAUCAAAAAGUCUAUCAAACCUCAUCCGAAUGACGUAAAAUUUUGUACACACGUCAUAUUAAACACUAUGGAGCUACUCCAACUUCCGGAAUUCUAUUCUGAGCCUCGGACCAAAAUCUCACUAUCGAACCGAAAACUUCAAAAAUUCAACUUUUGACAUUUCAAGCCUAAAUUAGCUACAGACCUCCAAAACACAAACCGAACAUGCUCCUAAGCCCAAAAUCACCCAUUGGAGCUAACAGAACCAUUAGAUUUUCUAUUUCGAGGUUGUCUUCACACUGUUCUGACUACGGUAAACUCUCCAACACUUAAACUCUCAUUUAGGGACUAAGUGUCCCAAAACUCUUCGAAACUCAAAACCGAACAUCGUGACAAAUCAGAAUAGUAGAAAUAAACUCGGGAAAAGCAGUUAAUAGGGGAUCGGGGCAUUAAUUCUUAAGACGACUGGCUGGGUCGUCACACAUAAUUGGGCCCUACUUGCUUUAUUUUCACACUUCACCCUCUUUUUUUCUUUUUUUCUUUUCAUUUGCCCUCAACUAUCAUUGGUCCACCAAAUGAACCUUUUACCCUUGAAAAAAUGCAACAUGUAGCACAUAGGAUACAUCAGAAUGGUCUUUUACUUUUUUGGUACAACUAUCCUAGACGGACCUAAUCCCUAUGUUGAGUUCCCAAUGUCACAUGCACAUGAUGCAACUAAGCGUUCCUACUAGGGAUCCGACAUGAGGCUGAGUUAUUCUAGGUUUUAAAAACAUGGGUGUAUUGUUCUAGACUUGGUUUACCUGAGCAGACAACUCGAGUCGAGUAGGGGCUACGUGCCGGGAACCAAAAGGUCAUCCGACUUUGUAACUUGUCCGAACCUCUUUCUAAAUUAGGGUAUGAGACUAAGAAAAAAGAAGUCACGCCAGAUUGCACUUCCCCAAAGAUGAGAAGAGAAAGGUUUCGCAGCAGUUUAUAUACAGUUCAAAUAAUAUCAAAGCGGUAAAAAGAGGCAUUUAGCACACUAGGCCCAAACAUGUGAAAAUCAGAUAAUAAACAAAGUCAACUAUAACAAUUAUUCUAAGCAUGAAUUCUGAGCCCUGAACCAGAAGUUCUGGGUUCUUUUCCCCAGCAGAGUCACCAGAGUUGUCACACCUUUUUUUUCUACCACCGGAAGGGAUAUAUGAGAGUUUUUCCAAUCAAAGUUACAAUAAUCAAAACAGGAUAAUUUAUUAUAAUUCAGAGUCACCACUUUUGGAUAAUUUAUGGUGUCCCAAGUCACCGGUUUAAAAUCCCGAAUCGAGGAGAGUUUUGACUCUUAUUUAUGGUCUGUGAACACAAAAAUUUGGGUAAAGAAUUCUGUUAACCCAGAAGAAGGUGUUAGGCAUUCUCGGUUCUGUGAUUUUAGAACGGUCGCUCAACUAUUAUUAUUGGUCUAAUUAUCUGGUUAAUUACAUAUUUAUACCUAUUGUGCAUUUUAACCUUUGACCGCUUUUAAAAUAUUUAUGGAAUUAUUCUGGAACAUGUUACGAUUGUCGUACUCUUAUUUGUUUGGCACACAUUGCGAAUCGUGUCACGAGAACUGUACCCAUGAUUUACAACAUUUUUAAAUUAUUAACAUUAAUAGAAAUUAUGGCUGGGUCACAUAAAUGUACCCCCGAAUUUGGAAAUUAUGUACCAUAACUACGUCAUAGAAACUGUACAAGUGGCUAUGAUGAUUUGUUAUAGCGCGCCUAAAGCAAACUACGAAUUUUCAUGAAUUAUUUUCUAAACUACUUUGAGAUUACGCGUGAAAGGCUUGCGAUUAUGGAUCUGUUUUGCUAAAAAGAGAUUUUAUGCUCAUAUCCUUUUAACUUUUCCUUUUAUUAGACCGAGCCCGAUACCUAAAACAUGUAGACAAAUCAAUUGCUAAUGGGCUUCGGUCUCUCCCCCACUCCCACGGACCCAACAAUCAGUUAAACAAUUUUAACAAAAUUCAAAUGAGCAAACAGUAACAAUCAAGAGCAAGAAAUAAAGAGCUAAUUAAUUAGACUACAAAGAAAGAAAGGCACAGAAAAUUGAUCCAAACCUGACAAAAGCUGCUACUACCCCAUUUUGCUAACCCAAAAACCAACCUUCGGAUUAAAACUUAAAAAUGUGUAUAUUAACCUCAAACCCCUUUCGAUCAAAUUUUAGUUAUGACUUAUUUCCACAAUCUAAUCAUGCCACUCCAUUGUAAAUGUUAAACCAAUUAGUUCCGAUAAAUAUCAAAAUGCAAAGAACCCAGAGAGGCAAAGCAGGCAAUUUAUGACUAAAACAAUGUGCAUCACGAGAAAUGAAACAGGCACAUAUGUAUUUUCCUUUUCGAAAUUAAUAUAGUAUAGGAGCCAAUAAGUGAAAUGUCUGAUCCUAUUUAUCAUUGUCGCUCAAAUAUAAAGAAAGUGUCUAUUUUAUGUUACAUUAUUGCUCGCAUUUUAAGGUAAAGGACAAUAUGGAGCACUUUGAGCUAUAAUAAGCCAAACAAGACCAUAUCCCAACAAAACUUUGAAUAACACCAAUGAAUAGAACAACCCAUAUGGGCAAAACUUCAUAUAAGAUACCAGCAAGGAAUUCUAUAGCAUUACCCAAAUCCGUCCAAACAUGGACUAGACUAAUUAACAAGAACAAAUGGAGCGAGAUAGUAAGGCAUCAUCAAAAAGUAGCAAUGAAGCAUUAACAUUCAACAAAACAGCGCAACAACAAACUAACAAAAGUAACAAAACAUGACAUCAAGCAAAAAAUAACAGAAGGAAAUAGAAAAUUGACCUCAAAACGAUAACACCUAGAUGAAACUUGAACCGAAAACCAUCAGACAGUACCUCGAUGCACGACUGAAACAGAAUCCUUGCACAACGACCUCCAGCGACCUCGAAUCUGCCAGACAACCUCAGACUACGACCUUCGGCGAACUCGGAACUCACUAGAAAACUCGAAUUAAACCAAAUAAUGAAAUCAACGGACUACAAUAGUGACUAGCGAUUUGGAUCUGCUUUAUACUAUUUAGUGUGCUUUGUAGAUGAGUUUCACAAUACUAUCCGAAAAUGGCAUAGCUAAUGGCAAAAAUGAAAGAAGCAAUAAAAGACAGUGGAGGUGAAAAUAGUAAACCAAGGAAGACCAUCAGAUUUAAGAGUGAAGCAGCCAAAGGAUUUACUGAACGAGGAGGUCACACUAUUCUUCCGUCUAUGUGUGUGUGUGUGUGAGAGGGUGAAGCUCACUUGAGAUGGUAGACUCGUGGUGAAUGGAGGUCUGGCAGUGGUUGUGGAGUUCGGGCGAUGGCUGCUUCUCUAGCAAAGGAGUGUGGCAUUAGGGUUGGUCGCUGGAGGGUUCUCGUUUUGGGCAUGCUCAAGAUCCGUGUGAAGAAGAAGAAGCAACGAUUGUUGUAGGUUGAAGAAUAUGAGCUCAAGGGUUGUUGGUUUUGGUCUGGUUGUUGGCUAAGCUUAAGCCGUGGAGGGAAGGGAGUAAGGUUUCCGCUGGUUUUUUGGAUUGAGAAAAAGAAGAUCGCUUAGGUUUUUAUUUGUUUGUGGCUCUCUCUAAUUUGAAGAACCAAUGGGUAGGUGUGGAGAAGAUUAGGGUUCCACCAUUUUUGAAGAUGGAGGGGUGUUCAAGGUUUUGUGUUGUUUUCGUUCAAGAGGAAGAAGAAAAGUUUUGGGUCCUCCUAGUCCAAAAACGAAUGUAGCUUCUUUUACUAGGGUUCUGAUGUGUUGUUUCUUAGUUCUUCAUGAAGAAGAAGAAGAUAGGUUUUUUUGUUUUUCCUUUCCAAAUCAGAAAAU